AAGGCCUGGGGCACACAUCAAGAACACAAGGUGGUGGGGGUGUUGCCUGACCACCCCCAAAAGCUGCACACCAACCCUCUACCCCAUGCGAAUCUUUGAGCCUCUGGCACUUUGUAUCUCAGCUGAAGAAGCCUUCAGUGGAAACUGUCUCCAGUGGGCAGGUGUUGGAGAACCCGCCCUCUUCAGGUGAAGAGUUUGGGCAUCUGGCUGCACUAUCCUCCAAGUGGCACCCAAAACCUGCACUGGGAACAUGGGCCCUGACCUGGUGGACAUCACCACCUGGUGACAGAGUGCCAGGCGCAUUCCAUCCAGAUGAGGAAGAUGAAGGAGACUGCGUCAGAAAGUGCUGCCAGUCAGCAAUCAAUUCCACCACUUCACUAUCAAGUUCUUUCUGCCCCACCAGUCCUGCCAUGCCAGCAUGAGCCACACUUUGUUAACAAGAAACCCAAUACCUUC
rnacentral:lncRNA from 1 species